rnacentral:rRNA from 1 species
UACGUAGGGAGCAAGCGUUGUCCGGAAUCAUUGGGCGUAAAGCGCGCGUAGGUGGCCUCAUAAGUCCGCUGUGAAAGUCCAAGGCUCAACCUUGGAAAGCCGGUGGAUACUGUGAGGCUAGAGUACGGAAGAGGCGAGUGGAAUUCCUGGUGUAGCGGUGGAAUGCGCAGAUAUCAGGAGGAACACCAAUAGCGAAGGCAGCUCGCUGGGACGGUAUUGACGCUAAGGCGCGAAAGCGUGGGGAGCAAACAGG